rnacentral:rRNA from 1 species
UACGGAGGGAGCUAGCGUUGUUCGGAAUUACUGGGCGUAAAGCGCGCGUAGGCGGCUUUGUAAGUUAGAGGUGAAAGCCCGGGGCUCAACCCCGGAAUAGCCUUUAAGACUGCAUCGCUUGAAUCCGGGAGAGGUGAGUGGAAUUCCGAGUGUAGAGGUGAAAUUCGUAGAUAUUCGCAAGAACACCAGUGGCGAAGGCGGCUCACUGGCCCGAUACUGACGCUGAGGCACGAAAGCGUGGGGAGCAAACAGG